UACGUAGGGUGCUAGCGUUGUCCGGAUUUAUUGGGCGUAAAGCGCGUGUAGGCGGCUCGAUAAGUCUGCUGUGAAAGUUCAGGGCUCAACCCUGAAAUGCCGGUGGAAACUGUCGGGCUAGAGUCCGGAAGAGGCGAGUGGAAUUCCUGGUGUAGCGGUGAAAUGCGCAGAUAUCAGGAGGAACACCAAUGGCGAAGGCAGCUCGCUGGGACGGUACUGACGCUGAGACGCGAAAGCGUGGGGAGCAAACAGG
rnacentral:rRNA from 1 species